UUUUGCAUUCGGUUUGCGAGCAAUAAUACCGUUGCCAACAGCAUGCAAAAGGUGCGUUUUACCUAAACCCGUGCCGCCAUA
rnacentral:antisense_RNA from 1 species